ensembl:lncRNA
GUGCAAAGUUCCAUUCACAGGUCAGGCAGGUAGCCUAGUGGUUAAAUCAAAUCAAAUCAAAUCAAAUUUUAUUUGUCACAUACACAUGGUUAGCAGAUGUUAAUGCGAGUGUAGCGAAAUGCUUGUGAAGAGUGUUGUCCAGUAACUGAAAGGUCGCUGGUUUGAAUCCUGAGCCCACUAGGUGAAAAUCUGGUAAUGUUCCCUUGAGCAAGGCACUUUUAACCCUAAUUUCUCCUGUAAAUCACUCUGGAUAAGAGCGUUUGCUUAAUGAGUCACAUAUCAUUUGUUGUUGUAAUACCCCUCCACGACAGUAGGUGUCAUUAAGUGUGUAAAGGGCCGGAUGUUUUUGUCCCAUUGUUGUUGUAGAAGACGGAAGCAAAUCGGUCACGGUUUGUAAGUGAUUCAAUUACAGCAAAUUGUGUGUUACAAAAUAAAUUAAACAUACGUUUUAACCCAUAUUUAGGCGAGAUAGUAACCUUGUGCAACAAGCGUUAUACAGUAUCAUAGAUCAGUCACAUAAUAUAGUUUCUGGAUACUUUUCGGACAGUGAAGAGCGCAUGCCUCCACCGCCACAAGGUGUUUCUGUCCAGGUGGAGCUUCUGAAAAUUAGCCAUCUUCACUGUUGCAAUCAGAACUGAGGUACCAUGUCAGACUUCACCAUUGAUAUCCAGCUGACAGAACUAGGGUUCCCUGACAUCUUGCAGCCCAGAGAAAUUACCUGUGUGAAGGAAACACCAUCGCCUUCGGCCUCUAACAAUAUUUCCCCUGGAUCCCUGGCUAACCUCCAAAUCCCCAGUUCCUCGCCGCCUCCUGCUGCGCUCACCCCCACAGCUGUGGACCCAGAACUGGUCGGUGUAGAACAGCUGGUUUCUGUAGCCUCAAGGACUCCUUCUACAGUACAGCAGGUUGCCUCACAGACAGGCCCUCACAUUACAGUAACCCCAAGUCCCUCUGGGCCCCCUGAGACACUGACAAUACUCUGCCCACCCCCUCCUUCUACACACAAACCGGUGGUAGUGGCACACACUUCACGGCCUGUUAGUCCCAUAUUGCUACCCAAGAGUAUAGUAAGUGGUCAAAGCAAUAGCCUUCACCAAACCCCCAAAAUAACUAAAACUGUCUUGAUAUCUGUGUCUCGUGUUGGAGCUGGUACUGUGUUGACUACUGUACCAGCUCCUUCCACUUCCCCUGUUGAACACUCAAGAACCAUUAAGAAUGAUUCCAAGCUGCCACUGGCAGAACAGACUGCAAUGUUUCAGACCACUCCAAAACCUGUAAACACAGGGAAGCCAGGAAGGGUGGUCGCUGAGGAAGAAGAACCAGGAGAAAAUAUUGGAGAGGGAAUAGGAGGGAAAGAUGUUUUCGAUGAUGGGAAAGUGCAAGGACUGAAAGAGAAAGAAGCAGAAGUUGCAAAGAGUUUAGAGGAGGAUUCUGAGGAAACAGAUGACAGUGAGGUUUCUGAAAAUGAGGAUGAUGAUGAAGAGGAGGAGGAGGAGGACGAACUGGACCCAGGAAGUCUGAAAAGACAGACUGAGUGGGUGAGGAGCUCACCUUGAGUGAAGUUUUUUUUAAAGACUGAUGUCAAGCAACAUGGUUGCAGUGAGAUUAUCUCAAGCAAAUUUGCUGAUGCACAUAGAAACUCAAACAACAUUGAAAUUUGCAUGCAACAUUCAAACCUGUCAUAUCACAAUGUUUUCACUUUUUUUAUCCAACUGUUUGGUUAUUGUAACAAUAUCAAUAUAGAAAAAAAUGUUGGCUGUAUAAUUUAGCUAGCUAGCCCAAAUAGAAUUGUCAGCACUGUUUAUCAAGUGAGCUAGCUAGUUUAUCUUGGACAAUUUCAAUUUCAGUUCACUUUCCAAGGGGAGGUCUGGGUACUUUUCAUUACAUAUAUAGUACUUUCAGAAAGUAUUCACACCCCUUGACUUUUUCUGCAUUUUGUUGUGUUUCAAAGUGGGAUUAAAAUGGAUUUCAUUGAAAUUUAUUUUGUCAACAAUCUACACAAAACAUGUUUGAUGGAAAAUAAAACGCUAUCUUGAUUAGAUAUGUAUUCAACCCCCUGAGUCAAUACAUGUUAGUCACCUUUGGCAGCGAUUAAAGAGCUUUGUCUCUUAAGAGCUUUGCACACCUGGAUUGUGCAAUAUUUGCCCAUUUAUUAUUUAAAAAAUUAUUCUGUGCCAAAUUGGUUGUUGAUCAUUGCUAGACAGCCAUUUUCAAGUCUUGCCGUUUGAUUUUCAAGAUGGUUUUAAGUAAAAAAUGUAACUAGGCCACCCAAGAAUAUUUAGUGUUAUUUUGGUAAGCAACUCGUAUAUAUUUGGCCUUGUGUUUUAGGUAAUUGUCCUGGUGGAGGAUGAAUUUGUUUCCCAGUGUCUGUUGGAAAGCAAACUGAACCAAGUAUUCCUCUAGGAUUUUGCCAGUGCUUAGCUCUAUUGUGUUUCUUUUUAUACCCCCCUCAAAAAAAAUCACAGUCCUUGCUGAUGACAAGCAUAGCCAUAACAUGAUGCAGCCACCACCAUGCUUGAAAAUGUGAAACAUUACAAAGCAACACGCUUUGUAUUGAGGUUAAAAAAAGUCAAUGUCUUUGCCAAUUUUUUUGCAGUAUUAUUUUAGUGCCUUAUUGCAAACAGGAAGCCUGUAUUCUGUCCAGGCUUCCUUCUUUUCACUCUGUCAUUUAUCAAAUCAAAUAGUAUUAGUCACAUGCGCCGAAUACAACCGGUGUAGACUUUCCAUUGAAUUGCUUACUUACAAGCCCCUAACAAAGAAUGCAGUUAUAAAAAAAAAAUAUGGAUAAGAAUAAUAAAUACAACUAAUAAGUAAUUAAAGAGCAGCAUUAAAAUAACAAUAGUGUGACUAUAUACAGGGGGUACACAAUGUGCGGGGGCACUGGUUAGUAGGUAGAGUUAUUAAAGUGACUAUGCAUAUAGAUGAUACCAACAGAGAGUAGCAGUGGUGUAAAAGAAGGGGGGGGUUGACUGGGGAGCCAUUUGAUUAGAUGUUCAGGAGUCUUAUGGCUUGGGGGUAGAAACUAUUUAGGAGCCUCUUGGACCUAGACUUGGCGCUCCGGUACUGCUUUCCAUCCGGUAACAGAGAGAACAGUCUAUGACUAGGGUGGCUGGAGUCUUUGACAAUUUUUAGGGCCUUCCUCUGACACCGCCUGGUAUAGAGGUCCUGGAUGGCAGGACGCUUGGCCCCAGUGAUGUACUGUGCCGUUCGCACUACCCUCUGUAGUGCCUUACGGUCGGAGGCCGAGCAGUUGCCAUACCAGGCAGUGAUGCAACCAGUCAGGAUGCUCUCAAUGGUGCAGCUGUAGAACCUUUUGAGGAUCUGAGGACUCAUGCCAAAUCUUUUCAGUCUCCUGAGGGGGAAUAGGUUUUGUCGUGCGCUCUUCAUGACGGUCUUGGUGUGCUUGGACCAUGUUAGUUUGUUGGGGAUGUGGACACCAAGGAGCUUGAAGCUCUCAACCUGCUCCACUGCAGCCCUGUCGAUGAUAAUGGGGGCCUGUUCGGCCCUCUUGGUCACUCUGACAGAGCUCCGGAGUUCCUCUGUGGAGAUGGGAGAACCUUACAGAAGUACAAACAUCUCUGCAGGCCUCCACCAAUCAGGUCUUUAUGGUAGAGAGGCCAGACGGAAGCAACUCUUCAGUAGAAGGCACUCCUGCUUGUAGAUUGCCAAAAGCCACCUAAAGACUCUCAGACCAUGAGAAACAUGAUUCUCUGGUCUGAUGAAACCAAGAUUGAACUCUUUGGCCUGAAUGCCAUGUGUCACGUUUGGAGGAAACCCUACGGUGAAGCAUAGUGAAAACCUGCUCCAGCACCUCAGACUGGGGCGAAGGUUCACCUUCCAACAGGACAAUGACCCUAAGCACACAGUCAAGACAAUGCAGGAGUGGUUGCGGGACAAGUCUCUGAAUGUCCUUGAGUGGCCCAGCCAGAGCCCGGAAUUGAACACGAUCAAACAUCUCUGGAGAGACCUGAAAAUAGCUGUGCAGGAAGGCUCCCCAUCCAACCUGACAGAGCUUGAGAGGAUCUGCAAAGAAGAAUGGUAGAAACUCCCGAAAUAUGUGUGCCAGGCUUGUAGCGUCAUACACAAGAAGACUCUGCUGUAAUCACUGCUAAAAGUGCUUCAACAAAGUACGAAGUAAAGAGUCUGAAUACUUAUGUAAAAUAUGUUUUUUAUAAAUUAGCAAAUGUUUAAGCCUGUUUUUGUCAGUCAUUAUGGGGUGUUGUGUGUAGAUUGAUGAGGGGAAAAAACAAUUCAAUCAAUUUUAGAAUAAAGCUGUGAUGUAACAAUGUGAAAAGUCAUGG